CCCAGACUCCUACGGGAGGCAGCAGUGGGGGAUAUUGCACAAUGGGGGAAACCCUGAUGCAGCGACGCCGCGUGUGGGAAGACGGUCCUCUGGAUUGUAAACCACUGUCCCCAGGGACGAAGAUGACGGUACCUGGGGAGGAAGCUCCGGCUAACUCCGUGCCAGCAGCCGCGGUAAUACGGAGGAUGCGAGCGUUAUCCGGAUUUAUUGGGUUUAAAGGGUGCGUAGGCGGACGCUUAAGUCAGCGGUAAAAUUGCGGGGCUCACCCUCGUCGAGCCGUUGAAACUGGGUGCCUUGAGUGGGCGAGAAGUACGCGGAAUGCGUGGUGUAGCGGUGAAAUGCAUAGAUAUCACGCAGAACUCCGAUUGCGAAGGCAGCGUACCGGCGCCCAACUGACGCUGAAGCACGAAGGCGUGGGUAUCGAACAGGAUUAGAUACCCGAGUA
rnacentral:rRNA from 1 species